UAGACCUGAGGUCAGGCAAGACCACCCGCUGAACUUAA
rnacentral:rRNA from 1 species